rnacentral:lncRNA from 1 species
AAUACACUUGUUGGGAGGCACUGCUCAUGCAGGGAAAUCACCAGUCGAGGUGGUACACAUUUCCCCCAACAAAUUUUUCUCUUUCAGGUAAAAAAGGAAAAAAAGUGGAAUGAAAAAAGAGAAGAUAAACUCCCCCUCUCUCACGUGACACCUAAGACACCUAUCACCUUCUACCUCACUCUUCUCUCUCAAAAGAAAAGUUAAAAAAUAAGCUUCAAAAUAGGGUGGCAUUCAUGAGAAACUUGGGGACCACUUCUAUAAUCCAUUCAUAAAUUCCUUCUUCUCUCUGAUUUUUACAAAUUAACUAUCUCUUUCCACUAAAAAACAAAAGAGAUAAAACGUAGAAAGUAUUUCUCCCCCUCUUUGUUGCUCCACGAACCUCAAUAACUAACAACCACCUCCUUCAUCUUUUUUUUUUCGACCGACAAACUUAACACUUAAUUUUUUCUCCUCCACCACCCUAACCUUAAAAACUUCAGUCCCUUUUGUCCUAAAACGAACCACACAACUCCUCCUUUCACAAGAAAGUAUUUCUCCCCCUCUUUGUUGCCCACGACCUCAAUAAACUAACCACCUCCUUCAUCUUUUUUUUUUCGACCGACAAACUUAACACUUAAUUUUUUCUCCUCCACCACCCUAACCUUAAAACUUCAUCCCUUUUGUCCUAAAACGAACCACACAACUCCUCC